GGCGGCAGGCCUAACACAUGCAAGUCGAACGGAUCCUUCGGGAUUAGUGGCGGACGGGUGAGUAACACGUGGGAACGUGCCCUUUGGUUCGGAACAACUCAGGGAAACUUGAGCUAAUACCGGAUAAGCCCUUCGGGGGAAAGAUUUAUCGCCAUUGGAGCGGCCCGCGUCUGAUUAGCUAGUUGGUGAGGUAAAGGCUCACCAAGGCUACGAUCAGUAGCUGGUCUGAGAGGAUGAUCAGCCACAUUGGGACUGAGACACGGCCCAAACUCCUACGGGAGGCAGCAGUGGAGAAUCUUGCGCAAUGGGCGAAAGCCUGACGCAGCCAUGCCGCGUGAAUGAUGAAGGUCUUAGGAUUGUAAAAUUCUUUCAGCAGGGACGAUAAUGACGGUACCUGCAGAAGAAGCCCCGGCUAACUUCGUGCCAGCAGCCGCGGUAAUACGAAGGGGGCUAGCGUUGCUCGGAAUUACUGGGCGU
rnacentral:rRNA from 1 species